rnacentral:misc_RNA from 1 species
CACCACUCAAGCCUCGCUUGGUAUUGGGCGACGCGGUCCGCCGCGCGCCUCAAAUCGACCGGCUGGGUCUUUCGUCCCCUCAGCGUUGUGGAAACUAUUCGCUAAAGGGGGCCGCGGGAGGCCACGCCGUAAAACAACCCCAUUUCUAA